UGGGCAGGUUGAAGGUUGGGUAACACUAACUGGAGGACCGAACCGACUAAUGUUGAAAAAUUAGCGGAUGACCUGUGGCUGGGGGUGAAAGGCCAAUCAAACCGGGAGAUAGCUGGUUCUCCCCGAAAGCUAUUUAGGUAGCGCCUCGUGAAUUCAUCUCCGGGGGUAGAGCACUGUUUCGGCUAGGGGGCCAUCCCGGCUUACCAACCCGAUGCAAACUGCGAAUACCGGAGAAUGUUAUCACGGGAGACACACGGCGGGUGCUAACGUCCGUCGUGAAGAGGGAAACAACCCAGACCGCCAGCUAAGGUCCCAAAGUCAUGGUUAAGUGGGAAACGAUGUGGGAAGGCCCAGACAGCCAGGAUGUUGGCUUAGAAGCAGCCAUCAUUUAAAGAAAGCGUAAUAGCUCACUGGUCGAGUCGGCCUGCGCGGAAGAUGUAACGGGGCUAAACCAUGCACCGAAGCUGCGGCAGCGAACGUAUCACUUAAAGCGAUUCAGCGGGUUACGAUUGACGGAGCGAAGCGACGUCAAAGCGUAUACAAAGUCGAGUCGGUUUAAGGAUACGUUCGUUGGGUAGGGGAGCG
rnacentral:rRNA from 1 species